rnacentral:rRNA from 1 species
UACGGGGGGAGCAAGCGUUGUUCGGAUUUACUGGGCGUAAAGGGCGCGUAGGCGGCGCAACAAGUCACUUGUGAAAUCUCCGGGCUUAACCCGGAGCGGUCAAGUGAUACUGUCGUGCUAGAGUGCGGUAGGGGAGACUGGAAUUCCUGGUGUAGCGGUGAAAUGCGCAGAUAUCAGGAGGAACACCGGUGGCGAAGGCGGGUCUCUGGGCCGAUACUGACGCUGAGGAGCGAAAGCGUGGGGAGCGAACAGG